rnacentral:rRNA from 1 species
ACCCGCUGAACUUAAGCAUAUCAAUAAGCGGAGGAAAAGAAACCAACAGGGAUUGCCCCAGUAACGGCGAGUGAAGCGGCAAGAGCUCAAAUUUGAAAGCUGGCUCCUUCGGGGUCCGCAUUGUAAUUUGCAGAGGAUGCUUCGGGAGCGGUCCCCAUCUAAGUGCCCUGGAACGGGACGUCAUAGAGGGUGAGAAUCCCGUAUGGGAUGGGGUGUCCGCGCCCGUGUGAAGCUCCUUCGACGAGUCGAGUUGUUUGGGAAUGCAGCUCUAAAUGGGUGGUAAAUUUCAUCUAAAGCUAAAUAUUGGCCGGAGACCGAUAGCGCACAAGUAGAGUGAUCGAAAGAUGAAAAGCACUUUGAAAAGAGAGUUAAAAAGCACGUGAAAUUGUUGAAAGGGAAGCGCUUGCGACCAGACUCGCUCGCGGGGUUCAGCCGGCGUUCGUGCCGGUGUAUUUCCCCGCGGGCGGGCCAGCGUCGGUUUGGGCGGUCGGUCAAAGGCCCUCGGAAGGUAACGCCCCUAGGGGCGUCUUAUAGCCGAGGGUGCAAUGCGACCUGCCUAGACCGAGGAACGCGCUUCGGCUCGGACGCUGGCAUAAUGGUCGUAAGCGACCCGUCUUGAAACACGGACC